GCAUCGGUGGUUCAGUGGUAGAAUGCUCGCCAGCCAAGCGGGCGGCACGGGUUCGAUUCCCGGCCGAUGCA
rnacentral:tRNA from 1 species